rnacentral:rRNA from 1 species
CCUACGGGUGGCUGCAGUGGGGGAUAUUGCACAAUGGGGGGAACCCUGAUGCAGCGACGCCGCGUGGGUGAAGGAGCGUUUCGGCGCGUAAAGCCCUAUCGGCAGGGAAGAAGGAGGACGGUACCUGACUAAGAAGCCCCGGCUAACUACGGACCAGCAGCCGGGGUAAGACGUAGGGGGCAAGCGUUAUCCGGAUUUACGGGGGGUAAGGGGGGCGCAGACGGCAGCGGAAGCCAGGAGUGAAAGCCCGGGGCCCAACCCCGGGGCUGCUCUUGGAACUGCGCGGCUGGAGUGCAGGGGGGGCAGACGGAAUUCCUAGUGUAGCGGUGAAAUGCGUAGAUAGUAGGAGGAACACCAGUGGCGAAGGCGGUCUGCUGGACAGCAACUGACGCUGAGGCGCGAAAGCGUGGGGAGCAAACAGGAUUAGAUACCCUAGUAGUC